rnacentral:lncRNA from 1 species
GGAGGCAGGAAGCUGUAAGGUAUUUGAUUACUUUGGAGAAAGAAGAAAGGUUUUUUUUGUUUGUUUGGUUGGUUUGGUUUUUUUGUCUUUUUAGGGCCAAACCCAUGGUAUAUGGAGGUUCCCAGACUAGGGAUUCAAUCAGAACUGUAGCCACCAGCCUACACCACAGCCACAGCAACUGGGGAUCCGAGUCGCGUCUGCAACCUACACCACAGCUCAUGGCAACGCCAGAUCCUUAACCCACUGAGCGAGGCCAGGGAUCAAACCCGCAGCCUCAUGGAUGCUGGUCAGGUUCACUAACCACUGAGCCACAACAGGAACUCCAAGAGGUGGGUUUUAAGGCUGGAAAAAAAAAAAAAAAAAAAACCUGGGACCCAGAAGGUGGAGGACUAUCUAAAUUUAGUAAAGAGUUAUGCUUGAUUCUGUAUGUGUCAGGGACCUGUGCAAGAUUUCUUAGCAAGGCAGUGACAUCAUCAUAUCACAUCAUGUUUUAGAAAGAAUAUAAAUUGGGGAGGGACAGAGGCAGGGAGACUAGGAGAAAUCUCUUACAAUAAAGGUCUAAGCUAUACAGUGGCUGUGGAAAUGGAAAUAAAGUGGACUUAAGAGAGUUUUAGGGAGUUCCCGACCUAGUGGCUCAGCAUGUUAAGAAUCUGGCAUUGUCACUGCUGUGCCUCUGGUUUGUUCCCUGGCCCAGGAAUUUCUACAUGCCGCCAGUGUGGCCAAAACAAAUAAAUAAGGCUAGGGAGGUCCCACUGUGUCUCAGCUGUAAUGAACCCAACUGGUAUCCAUGAGGACGUGGGUUCAAUCCCUGGUCUCCAUCAGUGGGUUAAGGAUCUGGCACUGCUGUGAGCUGUGGUGUAGGUUACAGACAUGGCUUGGAUCCCUCGUUGAUAUGGCUGUGGUAUAGGCUGGUGGCUACAGCUCGCAUUCAACCCCUAGCCUGGGAAUUUCCAUAUGCCAUGGGUGCAGCCCUAAAAAGACAGAUAAAUAGAUAGAUAGAUAGAUAGAUAGAUAGAUAGAUAGAUAGAUAGAUAGAUAGAUAGGGCUAACAUCCUACUUAAGGAAGAAAGACAAUCACAACAUUGUAAAUCAGCUAUAAUUCAGUAAAAUUUAAAAAGAGACUUUCAGAAGGCAGAUUAAGCAGAAACUAGAGGGGGCAAGGAGACUCACAGUUUUCUAACCUGAACAAGGUAGAAAUAAUUGGGACUACAGGAGUAAAAUAGUCCCAGGGGCUGAGGAUAGAAGGAUGAAUUAGGUUCCAUUUUGGACAGCAGGAAGAGGAGGAGAAAAUUCAAGUAAUUCAUUUUGAUUGUUUAAGCUAAAAAAAAAUUUGAAGCCAAACAUUACAGAAGUGUCAAGAAUGUUUUAUGAUGCUGAGGCAUAGAAAGCAGGCCCAGGAAAGCAAAACAUUUCACAUUUCUCUUCUGGUUAAAAACAAAGAAGAAUUUUUUCUGUUAAAGUUUAUGAUAACAUAUUGUUUCAAUUAAUCAAAGGUAGGCAAGACGAAUUUGGUUAAAAUUAAAAAUACAAAAAAAAAAUAGUUUCCUCUUUGGAAAAGUCAGUAUUUCCUAUGGUCUUCAAUCAUCCUUCAAAAUGAUAAGACAAAUGUGAUUCUAUUUAUUUAUCUAGCCUUUUCCCUGAUAAAUUAAAAAUUUAUACAAAAUCUUUCUGCAUCUCAAGGACAGUAACACACUUAAUUGCUAAUCCACAUUAUACUAGAAGUAUAAAUCUAUGGAAUUUGAAAACCAGAAAUGGUGUUCUAAAGAGAAAGAUUAUUACAAAAUUCUUCUUCAUGUCUUAGAAUAAUUUCACAAUUAAAAUAUCUGUAUUUUUUGGAGUUCCCUUCGUGGCACAGUGGCUAACGAAUCCAACUAGACUAGGAACCAUGAGGUUGUGGGUUUGAUCCCUGGCCUUGCUCACUGGCUUAAGGAUCUGGCGUUGCCGUGAGCUGUGGUGUAGGUCGCAGAUGCGACUCGGAUCCCGUGUUGCUGUGGCUCUGGUGUAGGAGGUCGGCGGCUACAGCUCCGAUUAGACCCCUAUCCUGGGAACCUCCGUAUGCCAUGGAAAGAGGCCCUAGAAAAGGCAAAAAGACAAAAGAAAAAAACCUGUAUUUUCUAAAAUCAUCCAAUAUUUUAAAACCAUAUCUAUAAUAAUAACAAUAUUAGAACUUAGUUUAUAAAUCACCUUCCUUACCUUUCUACAUUUAAAAGAACUCUACGGCUGGCUCAGUUUAUUCAUGCAUGUUAGAAAACAAUAGUUUUGGAAGACUGUGUUUAUUAGUGUGAAUCACAAAAUUUAAACUAUUUAUGACCCCUGCUAUAGGUUUAAGCCUGGGAAUGGUUAUAGGUUAUCAUUUGCUCUGUAAAUAAAUCACAGAAGGCAGACCAUCCCCACUGGAAACAUUGGGGUGGUGUAAGGCUCCCAUGCCGGAGGCAAAGGGUUGUAAUUUAGUUCAAUCAUGCAUUUGUCAUAAGAAGUCUGACAAGCUUCAGCUCUAUAAGUAAGCUUGGCAACAAAAGAAAUCCUGUGGAAAAUACUGCACAAAAAGAAUUGAUCCUCUCUUCUUGUCCUAAGAUACAAAAUGUGAGUUUUGUAUCUUUAAAAAUCAAAUGAAAUAGAAAUUCCCAGCAAGUACCAAGGUAGGACACGUAACUAACAAAAUGCCCCUUCUAUCUGCCUCAUAAAACCCUACUCUUCCUUCAAGACUAACUCAAAUAGCACCUUCUCCAUGAUAUUAUCUCUGUUCCUCUCAACAGAUACACACACCUGCUGACGGCAUCCUCUCGCCCAGAACACAAGGUACUUUCUCUGAGGCAUGUUCACUUAGGUAACUGAGUGCCUAUGGUCAGGGACUUUCCAAUUCAUUUUGUGACUCCCACUACAACUGUCCUCACCAGGCACGUGAAGACACUUACUAAUGCUGGUUGAAUACUUUGAAAUCUUGGAAUGCUGCAUAGUCAUUCUAACACGGCUAAUCAUCUUUAAAAACAUUUUGGAAGUUCUUUUUGUACUGGUGAUACUGAUUUCUUUUUUUUUUUUUUUUUUUUUUUU